rnacentral:rRNA from 1 species
AUGGAGAGGAUGGCUAGCUCCUACUUUAAGGAGAUUUUCACUAAAGAUCCUACCCUGGAUCCGCGUGAGGUGCUGGAUACGAUUGUUCCUAUGGUGUCUGCGGAGAUGAAUGACUCCUUGUGCAAGCCAUACUCGGAUGAGGAGAUUUCAAAUGUCCUUUUUCAGAUCGGGCCCCUGAAAGCUCCGGGCUGCGAUGGCUUCCCGGCUAGGUUUUAUCAAAGGAAUUGUGCUGUUUUGAAAGUGGAAAUAGUGGCUGCAGUGCAAGAGUUUUUUAUUACUGGCAUCAUGCUAGAUGGUGUUAAUGACACGACGAUUGUGUUAAUUCCAAAAGUGCCCCACCCUAAGGAACUAAAAGAUUUCCGCCCCAUUAGUCUGUGUGAUGUGGUGUAUAAGAUCGUGUCUAAAUGCAAGGUGAACAGGCUUUGGUCGCUCCUAUCUGAGCUUAUCUCUGAAAAUCAGAGUGCAUUCAUUCCAGGGAGGUUGAGCUCAGACAAUUCCAUUAUUGCCUUCGAGUGCAUUCAUCAUAUUCAGUCAGUCAAGGAGAAUUCACCAGCUUUGUGUGCAUACAAACUUGAUCUGUCGAAGGCGUAUGACCGCGUUGAUUGGUUCUUCUUGGAAAGGGCGCUCUCUAAAUGGGGCUUCUCUGAUCAGUGGAUCUCUCGCGUUAUGGCAUGUAUCUCAUCAGUGAAGUAUUCUGUUAAAUUUAAUGGCAAACUAUUGGAGUCCUUCUCUCCCUCGAGAGGUCUACGCCAAGGUGAUCCAUUAUCCCCCUUCCUUUUCCUCUUUGUGGCUGACGCUCUGUCUAUCCUUCUGAACAAGUCGAUGAACAAGGAAGGUAUACAAGGGGUCACAAUCUAUAGAGGGGCCCGGUCAUCUCACAUCUUUUAUUUGCGGAUGAUUCCCUCCUGUUUUUCCAUGCCUCAGAGCCGCGGGCUCUCUUGGUUAAAGGUGUGUUGA